rnacentral:rRNA from 1 species
UACGUAGGAGGCAAGCGUUGUCCGGAAUUACUGGGCGUAAAGCGCGUGUAGGUGGUGGGACAAGUCUGCUGUGAAAGCGCCUGGCUUAACCGGGCGAGGUCGGCGGAAACUGUCCGACUAGAGGACGGUAGAGGGGGGUGGAAUUCCCGGUGUAGUGGUGAAAUGCGUAGAGAUCGGGAGGAACACCUGUGGCGAAGGCGGCCCCCUGGGCCGGGCCUGACACUGAGACGCGAAGGCGUGGGGAGCGAACGGG